AGGAUUCCCCUAKUAACUGCGAGUGAAGCGGGAAAAGCUCAAAUUUAAAAUCUGGUAGUCUUUGGCUGCCCGAGUUGUAAUCUAGAGAAGCAUUAUCCGCGCUGGACCGUGUACAAGUGUCCUGGAAUGGACUAUCAUAGAGGGUGAGAAUCCCGUCUUUGACACGGACUCCCAGGGCUUUGUGAUGUGCUCUCAAAGAGUCGAGUUGUUUGGGAAUGCAGCUCUAAAUGGGUGGUAAAUUCCAUCUAAAGCUAAAUAUUGGCGAGAGACCGAUAGCGAACAAGUACCGUGAGGGAAAGAUGAAAAGAACUUUGGAAAGAGAGUUAAACAGUACGUGAAAUUGCUGAAAGGGAAACGCUUGAAGUCAGUCGCGUUGGCUGGGAAUCAACCUUGCUUUUUGCUUGGCUUACUUCCCAGUUGACGGGUCAGCAUCAGUUUUGACCGGUGGAUAAAGGCUAGGGGAAUGUGGCACCUUCGGGUGUGUUAUAGCCCUUGGUCAUAUACACUGAUUGG
rnacentral:rRNA from 1 species